rnacentral:rRNA from 1 species
GACGAACGCUGGCGGCGUGCUUAACACAUGCAAGUCGAACGGAAAGGCUCUGCUUUUGUGGGGUGCUCGAGUGGCGAACGGGUGAGUAACACGUGAGUAACCUGCCCUUGACUUUGGGAUAACUUCAGGAAACUGGGGCUAAUACCGGAUAGGAGCUCCUGCUGCAUGGUGGGGGUUGGAAAGUUUCGGCGGUUGGGGAUGGACUCGCGGCUUAUCAGCUUGUUGGUGGGGUAGUGGCUUACCAAGGCUUUGACGGGUAGCAGGCCUGAGAGGGUGACCGGCCACAUUGGGACUGAGAUACGGCCCAGACUCCUACGGGAGGCAGCAGUGGGGAAUAUUGCACAAUGGGCGGAAGCCUGAUGCAGCAACGCCGCGUGCGGGAUGACGGCCUUCGGGUUGUAAACCGCUUUCGCCUGUGACGAAGCGUGAGUGACGGUAAUGGGUAAAGAAGCACCGGCUAACUACGUG